rnacentral:RNase_P_RNA from 1 species
UGGCGGCUUGUCGCUCGUUAACAUCAUGGUUGCGAGAGGAAAGUCCGGGCAACACAGAGCAUCACAUUUCUUAACGGGAAGCUGGGGGUGACCUCAGGGUUAAGGUGACAGAAAACAACCGCCGCAACGCCACGCGUGACGAAGCGGUAAGGGUGAAAAGGCGGGGUAAGAGCCCACCGGGCACUGUGGCGACACAGUGUGCCGCACUACCUGUGAGUUGCAAGUUCAUGUAUACCGGCAUCUAAGGGCUGCUCGUCCAUUGUCGGGGGGUAGAACGCUAUACCGGCACAGCAAUGUGCAGGACAGAUAAAUGACAGGCACCUGCCAUCACGGCAGGCACAUAACCCGGCUUACAGCCAUACUG